rnacentral:lncRNA from 1 species
UGCUUACUAUUUAUUAAUAACAGUUUGUGUGAUGACUGCAAAUGCCAGAGGUUACCUCUGAACAAAGCUUGGAUACAAUUACAAAGUGAGGUUUUUCAGAAUAUUUUCAGCUGAAAUCAUUUAUAUUGAGAGAAUAAGAACAUGGUGGCAGGAAGAAACUAUUUUUGAGAAUGGAAUAGAUGGAGAGUAGAGUGAGUACAGGAGGUAAGAGUAUGGGAUCCACAGUGUCACUACAGAGGCUCACUGGUGUGUGAGAGGGA